GUUGUUGUGUAGUUGUGUAGUUGUGUAGUUCAUUGUGCUGAUGUUGUGUAGUUGUUGUGUAGUUGUGUUGUGCAGUUGUAGUGUUGUUGUGCAGUUGUAGUGUUGUUGUUGCAGUUUGUUGUUGUGUAGUUGUGUUGUUGUUGUGUUGUACAGUUGUUGUGUUGUGUAGUUGUUGUGUAGUUGUGUUGUAGUGUUGUAGUGUAGUUGUGUUGUUAUUGUGUUGUGUAGUUGUGUAGUUGUUGUGUAGUUGUGUUGUGCAGUUGUAGUGUUGUUGUGCAGUUGUGUUGUUGUGCAGUUGUUGUGUUGUUGUGUUGUUUUGUUGUGUCAUUCUGCAGUUGUGUAGUUGUGUUGUGUCAUUCUGUAGUUGUUGUGUUGUUGUGUUGUUGUGCAGUUGUUGUGUUGUUGU
rnacentral:lncRNA from 1 species